UACGAGGGGGGCGAGCGUUGUUCGGAAUUAUUGGGCGUAAAGGGUGCGUAGGCGGUUUGGUAAGUCUGAUGUGAAAUCUAUGGGCUCAACUCAUAGUCUGCAUCGGAAACUGCCGGGCUUGGGUAUGGGAGAGGUGAGUGGAAUUCCUGGUGUAGCGGUGAAAUGCGUAGAUAUCAGGAGGAACACCUGUGGCGAAAGCGGCUCACUGGACCACAACUGACGCUGAGGCGCGAAAGCUAGGGGAGCAAACAGG
rnacentral:rRNA from 1 species